CAGGACACCAUUACAAAGCCAACUGCUCUGGGACGGACUGCGGGCUGCGACCGGUACCUCAGGUGCACAUAAUGAUCCUGCUCCUGACAGAUCUUCAGCCACACAGGAUGCCUGUGAGGAAGUGUUGGCAGCCCAGCCUUGGACUGAUUCAGCUGUUUUCCCUGCUGCUUGGAGCCUCACAGCCAACUUUGUCCUGAGGGAAGGAGGGCAGAAGU